rnacentral:rRNA from 1 species
AGAACGAACGCUGGCGGCAUGCCUAAUACAUGCAAGUCGAACGAACUCUUCGGAGUUAGUGGCGCACGGGUGCGUAACGCGUGGGAAUCUGCCCCUUGGUUCGGAAUAACAGUUGGAAACGACUGCUAAUACCGGAUGAUGACGAAAGUCCAAAGAUUUAUCGCCAAGGGAUGAGCCCGCGUAGGAUUAGCUAGUUGGUGAGGUAAAGGCUCACCAAGGCAACGAUCCUUAGCUGGUCUGAGAGGAUGAUCAGCCACACUGGGACUGAGACACGGCCCAGACUCCUACGGGAGGCAGCAGUAGGGAAUAUUGGACAAUGGGCGAAAGCCUGAUCCAGCAAUGCCGCGUGAGUGAUGAAGCCGUUAGGUUGUAAAGCUCUUUUACCCGAGAUGAUAAUGACAGUAGUCGGAGAAUAAGCCCCGGCUAACCUCCGUAGCCAGCAGCCG